rnacentral:rRNA from 1 species
GUGCCAGCAGCCGCGGUAAUACGGAGGGUGCAAGCGUUAAUCGGAAUUACUGGGCGUAAGGCGUACGUAGGCGGCGUGUUAAGCAAGAUGUGAAAGCCCCGGGCUCAACCUGGGAAUUGCAUUUUGAACUGGCAUGCUAGAGUCCUGAAGAGUGUGGUAGAAUUUCCAGUGUAGCAGUGAAAUGCGUAGAUAUUGGAAGGAAUACCAGUGGCGAAGGCGGCCACCUGGUCAGAGACUGACGCUGAGGUACGAAAGCGUGGGGAGCAGACAGGAUUAGAUACCCUGGUAGUCCACGCCGUAAACGAUGUCAACUAGCUGUUCGUGUCAUUAAGACGUGAGUAACGCAGCUAACGCACUAAGUUGACCGCCUGGGGGAGUACGGCCGCCAGGUUAAAACUCGAAUAAAUUGACGGG